UACGAAGGGUGCAAGCGUUACUCGGAAUUACUGGGCGUAAAGCGUGCGUAGGCGGUUUGUUAAGUCUGUCGUGAAAGCCCCGGGCUCAACCUGGGAAUGGCGAUGGAUACUGGCGAGCUAGAGUACGGUAGAGGAGAGUGGAAUUCCCGGUGUAGCAGUGAAAUGCGUAGAGAUCGGGAGGAACAUCAGUUGCGAAGGCGGCUCGCUGGACCAGUACUGACGCUGAGGCACGAAAGCGUGGGGAGCAAACAGG
rnacentral:rRNA from 1 species